rnacentral:rRNA from 1 species
UACAGAGGUCUCAAGCGUUGUUCGGAUUCAUUGGGCGUAAAGGGUGCGUAGGCGGCGCGGUAAGUCGGGUGUGAAAUCUCGGAGCUUAACUCCGAAACUGCAUUCGAUACUACCGUGCUUGAGGACUGGAGAGGAGACUGGAAUUUACGGUGUAGCGGUGAAAUGCGUAGAUAUCGUAAGGAAGACCAGUGGCGAAGGCGGCUCACUGGCCCGGUACUGACGCUGAGGUGCGAAAGCGUGGGGAGCAAACAGG